rnacentral:rRNA from 1 species
UUCAAGAAGAACCGGUUGAAAACCGCUUGGGAGUGGGAGACCGGGAGAGAGUUUGAAUGUCUGCUCUGGAGAGCAAGUUUUGGUUGGCUCGGUUCGCUUCAGUUUGUUGAUUCGUUCGCUCGGAUUGUUCGUUUUCCUAUCGCUACGCUCGACGGCGUUUGGUUCGCUUCGUUUCUGGCCCGAUAGUGUUGCCCAGCUUCGCAAGAGUACGGUGUCUUCGUUAUUCGGUCGUUGGUUCGUGGUGGCUAGCGUUUAGUUACGCUAGUGUGUGUGACGUCGGUGUGAAAGUCGACGACGUUUCCGACCCGUCUUGAAACACGGAUUGCGGAGUGCUUGUCUACUGCGAGUCAAAGGGUGUUAAAACCUUGCGGCGAAAUGAAAGUGAAGGUCAGUCUUGAAUUGGCCGACGUGGGAUCGGUGCUCCUCGGAGUGCUGCGCACCACGGCCCUGUGCGUGUCACUUGUGACUGUGCAGAGGUUGAGCAGUUGGCAAACGACCCGAAAGAUGGUGAACUAUGCCUGAGCAGGAUGAAGCCAGAGGAAACUCUGGUGGAAGUCCGUAUCGGUUCUGGACGUGCAAAUCGAUCGAUAGACUUGGGUAUAGGGGCGAAAGACUAAUCGAACCAUCUAGUA